rnacentral:rRNA from 1 species
UAUCAGGUAGUAGUGGGUGUAGCGUACCUACUAGCCUACGACGGGUACGGGUUGUGAGAGCAAGAGCCCGGAGAUGGAUUCUGAGACACGAAUCCAGGCCCUACGGGGUGCAGCAGGCGCGAAAACUUUACAAUGCUGGAAACAGCGAUAAGGGGACCUCGAGUGCCAGGUUACAAAUCUGGCUGUCGUGAUGCCUAAAAAGCAUUGCAUAGCAAGGGCCGGGCAAGACCGGUGCCAGCCGCCGCGGUAACACCGGCGGCUCGAGUGGUAACCGUUAUUAUUGGGUCUAAAGGGUCUGUAGCCGGCCGGAUAAGUCUCUUGGGAAAUCUGGCAGCUUAACUGUCAGGCUUUCAGGAGAUACUGUCUGGCUCGAGGCCGGGAGAGGUGAGAGGUACUUCAGGGGUAGGGGUGAAAUCUUGUAAUCCUUGAAGGACCACCAGUGGCGAAGGCGUCUCACCAGAACGGACCUGACGGCAAGGGACGAAAGCUAGGGGCACGAACCGGAUUAGAUACCCGGGUAGUCCUAGCCGUAAACGAUACUCGCUAGGUGUCGGCAACGGUGCGACCGUUGUCGGUGCCGUAGGGAAGCCGUGAAGCGAGCCACCUGGGAAGUACGGCCGCAAGGCUGAAACCUAAAGGAAUUGGCGGGGGAGCAC